rnacentral:rRNA from 1 species
CCUACGGGCGGCAGCAGUGAGGAAUAUUGGUCAAUGGGCGCGAGCCUGAACCAGCCAAGUCGCGUGAAGGAUGACGGCCCUACGGGUUGUAAACUUCUUUUAUAAAGGAGUAAAGUGAGGCACGUGUGCCUUUUUGUGUGUACUUUAUGAAUAAGGAUCGGCUAACUCCGUGCCAGCAGCCGCGGUAAUACGGAGGAUCCGAGCGUUAUCCGGAUUUAUUGGGUUUAAAGGGAGCGUAGAUGGGUGGUUAAGUCAGUUGUGAAAAUUUGCGGCUCAACCGUAAAAUUGCAAUUGAUACUGGCAGGCUUGAGUACAGGUGAGGUAGGCGGAAUUCGUGGUGUAGCGGUGAAAUGCUUAGAUAUCACGAAGAACUCCGAUUGCGAAGGCAGCUUACUAAACUGCCACUGACAUUGAUGCUCGAAAGUGUGGGUAUCAAACAGGAUUAGAUACCCGGGUAGUC